UUCAUCUCAAUCAAUAGGCUAAGCAUAUCUUGUAAUCUCACUCGAAAAAAAAGGGGACAAACAGAAAAUAAACCCUAAAUUCUUAAUUGGAGACAAGAUUAGGAGGGAGAGAGACAGAGGGGGAAGAGAGUCACGAGGGCUUUUCUAUAUUUUUCUACAGAGAGAGAGGGAAAGAAGUAGAGAGACAUGAAUCCCUCUUGUGAUGAGCUGCUCUUCUUCUUCCUCCUCCUUCUCAGUCUAUUUCUUAGGUUUUGUUUCUCUUCCUCGUCGUCUCCCUUCUUCACAAUGUCCGAUCAUCUAUUUACUUCAUCUCUCUCUCUCUCUCUCUCUGUGUCUCCCGAUUGCCCGUUGGGUGAAGGUAUAUGUGCGCGUGUAUGUAUAUGUUGGCUUGAGAGGUUGAAGCUGCCAGCAUGAUCUGGUUCUGGUAUCACACUACCUGCUUCCCAGUUACCAUUCCCUUCCCAUCCACAUACACACACACACACACACACAUAUAUAUAUAUACCUAUAUCAUAUUUGUACUAACUAGAUCCUUUUUCGAUCAUCGUUUAUUAGCGAAACCAUAUUACAUAACAAGCGACUUCCACAAUGGAUCCGAUUCCCCUCAAGAUGCUCACCGUUAAUGCAUCUUUCCAUAUUUCCAUAUAUAGGUAGAUGUAAAAGUCUUUUCCUCCCAUCCCAUGCGUUAUUAAAGUCAUCAGCGUUUUUUUUUUCCCGUUUUGUCCUUUAUUCCAAUCAUGAAGUUUAGAAAUGCUAUUUUGAUUACAAUUACAAUGUCCAAUUUAUCAAAGUUUUAUAAAGAGAUACAUAUGUACAUGGGAGAGGGAGAGAGGGAUAUACAUCUGGAUCAGGUCAGCUUGCAGCUUCAAUCACUCAUUCACCAACAAUAUCCAAUUUUAUGGAGAUCCAAUCCCAUCCCAACUUUCCGAUACACGUAUUAACGGACUUUUCGCUUCAGGCAGCAGCUAUGGCUUUGAUACAUAUCCAUCGAGUGAAAUCAAUCGGUGGCAAAUAUUUGAGGAUUUGUGCGGACCUGAAUUUCGUCUUAUCGGGACCCGCAUGCGUGCGCUAUAGCACGGUUUGGGAGUAUCCACCUUCCCAUGGGGACGCGUGACGGACACGCAUGAGAAGGAGUCGCCACUUGCCAUUUUAUGACCCAGAGGUCGAGGGCGGACAAGUUACCCGGACCUAGGGUUACGAGGUACACCUAAUUGCUAAGGCAUUGGUCUUGCGGAACCAAAAAUUCCGGAUUCGGGGGUUCUAUUACGUGCGAGCCUAUAUCCCUCACGCCCUUUCGAUACUCUGUUUGUCUAGGGUUAGCCGUUUUAUUUCAUUUACUGCGUGAUUUAGGUUGUACUCGCCUUACCCGUUUUAGCACCGUAAAUUCGAAAAACACUCAGACUGUUAACUCACCGAUCGGAGUCCUUACAUCGACUGAAUAUAAAUAUAGAAAGACAUCCUUACAA